rnacentral:ncRNA from 1 species
AUUCCAGAAGUGGCAUAACAACGUGCCACUCCGGCAGCAAGCGAAGGUGUCAUUGGCACCCGUGGUAUAGUCUCCCCGGUUAUACCACGUUAUUUUUUU